rnacentral:lncRNA from 1 species
UGGAAAGAAUACAACCUCGAACCACACAGGGACCCUGUGACAAUGUGAUCUCUGCCACUUUCUUGCUCUGUGAAUUGAGAGAGAUUAUUUCAGUUCUCUCGGUUUUCACUUUCUUAAUCCUUUCCUUAUUCAAUCUGUUUGUUUACCUUGCUCAGACAACACAAAAGAAGACACAGAAGCACCAUGGGCAAACCAUGGAACAAGAACUGGAAUGAAUAUCUAUUCCACUACCUGAACUAAAGACUGCAGACGGAGAAAGGGAAGACAGGGGUUUAACUGGCAAUUCAAAGUGAGGUGAUCAGCCUUCUGUUACAGAGUUAACUGUGUGUGAAAGAAUGUAAGAUUCAUGUAUACAUCUGACAGUGACAGCUGUAUGGCCACAGCUUCAUGCUAUCAAGGCCCUUCAGUACAAGAUUGAAGUGAAGUGAUGAUAUUUGACAUCCUUGACUUCAAAGGAAAGCUUUGAAAAUCUCACCAUUAGAUAAGAUGCUUGCAGUGGAUUUUUUUUUAAAUUUGUAAUUAGCCUUUAUCAGAUUGAGGAAGCUCCAUUCUAGUUCUAGUUUUCCAUGAGUUUUUAUUUUUAACUUUUAUCAGGAAUGGAUUUUAAAACUCAUCAAAUGCUUUUUAUGUAUCAAUGAGUUGAAACCUAUUUUUUUAUUUUAUUCUUAAUAUGACCAAUUACAUUGCCUUUCUAAUGUUAAGCUAACCUGAAUUUCUAGUAUAAACCAACUUGCUUAUGAUGAAGUCUUUUUACCAACUGCUGGGUUUACAUUUUUAAGAAUUUUGGGGUCUAUGUUCAUAAUGAGAUUGGACUGUAUGUUUCCCUUGUCAUACUCUCUUGAUUGGUUUUUGGUAUCAAGAAAAUCCAGUCUGAUACCAUGUAUUAGAGUUUAUCUUAUUUUGUCGUUCUCUGGAAAUAUGUAGGAUUGAUAUUAAUUUUUCAUUGUGCCUGUUAGUAAAGAUGUUUGAACCUAAACAUUAUUUUGGAGGAAGUUUUAUAUUGCUGUUUCAGUUUCUUUAUGUUUAUCUCAGUUUUUUAUUAUAUCUUUUGUCAAAUUUAUAAGUGGUCGUUUUCUAGAAAUUUUCUGGACAGUUUCUUCUGAAUUUCUCAAUUUAUUGGAAUAAAGUUAUUACAUACAGUUAUUAUCUUUGUAAUAUCUAUAGAAUCUCCUGUUUUAUUCCUGAUGUAAGUUAAUUUUCUCUUCUUAAUUAUUCUCUUGAAAAAAAAAUAUAUGUGUGUGUGUGUAUAUAUAUAUAUAAAUGUUACUAGCCUCCCAGUUUUGGCUUUGUCUUCUCUAUUAUAUUUAAUUAUUAGUUUCAUCCUCAUUCAUCAAUGCUCUUUCUUUAAUGGUUUCUUCUUUUUACUUUCUUUUUUGCUGUUCUUUUGUAAUUUCUCAAGACAGAUGCUUAAAGCAUUACUUUUAAGCCAUCUUUUCUUUUGAAUGUGUGCUUCUAAGGCUAUACAUUUUACAUGCUGUACUUUUCAAAUUUUAAUAUGUAGUAUUUUCAUUAUCAUUCAGUUUAGUAUACUUUCUUUUUUCUCCCAUGAUUUCCUUUCGAUGUGUUUUUAUAAUGUCCAAACAUAUAGUAAUUUUCUAGGUAUAUUUUGAUUGUUAAUAGUUGUUAAAAACAUAUACCUUUUUAAUUAAUUUAUUUGUACUUGUUUUAUGGCAUAGGAUACUGUCCAAUUUUUAUAUUUUUGCAUUUGGGGGCUAUAAUAUUUAUUAAAUCUUUCUUUCUCUGUAUCCUUCUUGAAUUUAUAUAUGCAAACUGCCACUGACUGUGCAUUUGGGUUCUUCUUAUAAUUUUAUUAUUUUAUAAAAUUAUGCAUUUUGAGGUCAUGUAAUUGAG